rnacentral:rRNA from 1 species
UACGGGGGGUCCAAACGUUAUUCGGAAUCAUUGGGUUUAAAGGGUUCGUAGGCGGGACAUUAAGUGGGGGGUGAAAUGCUGCAGCUCAACUGAAGAAUGGCCUUUGAUACUGGUGUUCUUGAGUGAUGUUGCUGUGGUCGGAACAUAUGGUGUAGCGGUGAAAUGCAUAGAUAUCACAUAGAACGCCGAUUGCGAAGGCAGGUUACUAGGCAUAUACUGACGCUGAGGGAAGAAAGCGUGGGGAGCGAACGGG